rnacentral:rRNA from 1 species
AGUGAACGCUGGCGGUAGGCCUAACACAUGCAAGUCGAACGGCGGCACAGUAAGAGCUUGCUCUUACGGGUGGCGAGUGGCGGACGGGUGAGGAAUACAUCGGAAUCUACUUUUUCGUGGGGGAUAACGUAGGGAAACUUACGCUAAUACCGCAUACGACCUACGGGUGAAAGCAGGGGAUCUUCGGACCUUGCGCGAUUGAGUGAGCCGAUGUCGGAUUAGCUAGUUGGCGGGGUAAAGGCCCACCAAGGCGACGAUCCGUAGCUGGUCUGAGAGGAUGAUCAGCCACACUGGAACUGAGACACGGUCCAGACUCCUACGGGAGGCAGCAGUGGGGAAUAUUGGACAAUGGGCGCAAGCCUGAUCCAGCCAUACCGCGUGGGUGAAGAAGGCCUUCGGGUUGUAAAGCCCUUUUGUUGGGAAAGAAAAGCAGCAGGUUAAUACCCCGCUGUUCUGACGGUACCCAAAGAAUAAGCACCGGCUAACUUCGU